CAUUCAUCCCCACGGAACCCAUCAUCAGAAUGCUGAAUCCCCAGGUCCCCAUAGCAACGGCUCUGAUGCCAGAACCCAGGAUCACCAGCGUGGAUCAGCCCACGAGAUGGCUUCGAGGUACAGAAGCGAAAAGCCUGGAAGAAACGCACCAGGGCCAGGAGUAGCUGCGUUCGGAGCCCGUGACGCCGCCCGUGGGCACCAGGCAGACUGGGCCACCUCCCUCCUGGGGCCAUCCCAGGGCCCCUCAUUGAAGGGCUGGCUCUAGACCCUGCAGGGGCCCAGGCUGGGGGUGACCAGCCUCCGGGGCCACGGUCCCCACUUGAUUGGUGCCCUGCUCUGGGAGGUCCCGGCCACUCUGCGACUCAGCACCCCACCACCACCCGGCUUCCCCAGCCAGAGCUUCUGUGGUGCUGAGCCAGGGCUGCAUCCUGGGCUCCCCCCGCCCCCCGGCGCUUCCCACCUAGCGACCCACCUCACAGCUCUCUCUGGGGUGGCGCCCCUCCCCUAGCCUGGGGACGUGGUAGAUCCUUGACCAGUAUUUCCUCCACGAGUGGCCCUGACUUUCCGGAGCUUGCCUAAGCAAGAUGGCACAGCGGCCACCGGUUUACAACCCAAAACUUCAAACCAGUCUUGUUACAACCAGUGGAUCAUUCUUUAAAAAAAAAAAAUAAAUGAAUGUAGAGGAAGAACUCCAAUGUCCUUAAC
rnacentral:lncRNA from 1 species